rnacentral:tRNA from 1 species
GGGGAUGUGGCUCAAGCGGUAAAGUGCUUGCCUGACAUGCGAGGGGCGCUGGGUUCGAUCCUCAGCACCACA